rnacentral:tRNA from 1 species
GGGCUGCUAGCUCAGUGGGUAGAGCACCGGCCUUUUAAGCCGAGGGUCACAGGUUCGAGUCCUGUGCGGCCCACCA